AUGUCUGCACAUCUGGAGCACUGCACAGUGCAAGCAGGAGAGGUCCUGUCCCAUGCCAGGAGUGCUUCCACUUCUUCUGUAGGAAGGUGCUGCCAGGAAGAUGUCAACAAAUGGAGAAGACUUCAGACUGGCAGUCAGAGACAAAGGCUGCUGUUAGAGACACGAGGGUAAGGGCUUGUCUGGAGAGUCCCUGCCUGUCAGUGACAUAAGGUUCGAUGGACCUUCACUUCCCAAAGGUGGCGAAGCAGCGUGGUGGCCCAUCCUCUGCCCAGAGAGCACGGUGACGUUUGCGUAACGUCCUACAGCUUCCGCUCAAGUGGGUUUCACAACCUCCCCGGGUAAUCUGUUCUGGCCCUGCCUUACUCAGAGACAGUUUUUUGCAACAUCUAGCCUUUUUCUUUCUUUUUUUUUUUUUUUUCCUUUCUUCUUUUCUUUCCUGAAAAUUAAGCCGAUUAGAUCUUAUCUUUGUCCUUCCAGCAAUGUAAAUCGCUGCCUUUCUUAAUAACAACAUCUCCUGCUCUGCAACCCUGUUAUCACGUCCUGCCCUACUCCCAGACUUCUCCUCUAGACUCAACAAAC
rnacentral:lncRNA from 1 species